rnacentral:pre_miRNA from 22 species
CACUCAUCUAACUCAUCUACAAAUGCUAAGUAGUUGUGCCGUAGGUAACUUAUAUGAGAUUACCUGCUGCCUACUGCUUAACACCUGUACGUGAAUGAUAAUACC